rnacentral:rRNA from 1 species
AUGCUCCAAGAAUCAGUUUCUUUUUGCCUUUCCAUAAAUACAUCCACAUCAUUGGCUCUGAUAUUUUGUCAUAUGCAAGCAGGGGCAAAGGACACAGAAGCAGCAAUGGAUGAAGGGAUGGAGCUCAAGGGGUGCGUUUGCCGGAUCAAGAGCUGCGCCGGCCAACUUCUGUCGAUGGAGGAGGAUCUGGUGACUGAUCUGGACGAUGACUCAUGGGACUUGGUCUGGAGGGACCUCCGGCUGAAGGCGACCUUCUUGUACAUUGAUCUGAGCCGUGUGAUCUCCCGAAGUGAGAACGAUGAGCGCAGGAAGGCGCUCACCCUUCUCGCCAACAAAUUCUUCUACUGCACGGAUGAGCUGGGCGAUGCGGUGACGAGCCGAAGCGUCCCCGUCGUGAAGAUGUGCUACAACGACACCGCUCAGGCUCUCCGUGAGUUGCUCGCGGCCCUUGCGCCGCCGCAGUAG